rnacentral:rRNA from 1 species
CCCUUAGAUGUUCUGGGCCGCACGCGCGCUACACUGAUGCGUUCAACGAGUAUAAAACCUUGAUCGAUAGGUCUGGGUAAUCUUGUGAAUGCGCAUCGUGCUAGGGAUAGACUGUUGCAAUUUUCAGUCUUGAACGAGGAAUUCCUAGUAAACGCAAGUCAUCAGCUUGCAUUGAUUACGUCCCUGCCCUUUGUACACACCGCCCGUCGCACCUACCGAUUGAAUGACUCGGUGAAAAAUUGGGACCGUGAGUCCGCUUGCUUCAUUGCGAGUGGAUUGAUGGGAACUUUUUUAAACCUCGCCAUUUAGAGGAAGGUGAAGUCGUAACAAGGUUUCCGUAGGUGAACCUGCGGAAGGAUCAUUA